AAUCUUGCACAAUGGGCGAAAGCCUGAUGCAGCGACGCCGCGUGGGGGAUGAAGGCCUUCGGGUUGUAAACCCCUUUCAGUAGGGACGAAAAUGACGGUACCUACAGAAGAAGCUCCGGCCAACUACGUGCCAGCAGCCGCGGUAACACGUAGGGAGCAAGCGUUGUCCGGAUUUAUUGGGCGUAAAGAGCUCGUAGGUUGUUCAGUAAGUCGGAUGUGAAAACUCAAGGCUCAACCUUGGGACGCCAUCCGAUACUGCUGUGACUUGAGUUCGGUAGAGGAGUGUGGAAUUCCUGGUGUAGCGGUGAAAUGCGCAGAUAUCAGGAGGAACACCAACAGCGAAGGCAGCACCCUGGGCCGAUACUGACACUGAGGAGCGAAAGCAUGGGGAGCAAACAGGAUUAGAUACCCUGGUAGUCCAUGCCGUA
rnacentral:rRNA from 1 species